rnacentral:siRNA from 1 species
UGGUCAACAACUGGUGCAUUCG